rnacentral:rRNA from 1 species
CAGCAGCCGCGGUAAUACAGAGGGUGCGAGCGUUAAUCGGAUUUACUGGGCGUAAAGCGUGCGUAGGCGGCUAAUUGAGUCGGAUGUGAAAUCCCUGAGCUUAACUUAGGAAUUGCAUUCGAUACUGGGAAGCUAGAGUAUGGGAGAGGAUGGUAGAAUUCCAGGUGUAGCGGUGAAAUGCGUAGAGAUCUGGAGGAAUACCGAUGGCGAAGGCAGCCAUCUGGCCUAAUACUGACGCUGAGGUACGAAAGCAUGGGGAGCAAACAGGAUUAGAUACCCCCGUAGUCCCUGUCUCUUAUAC